rnacentral:rRNA from 1 species
AGAGUUUGAUCCUGGCUCAGGAUGAACGCCGGCGGCGUGCCUAACACAUGCAAGUCGAACGAAGCGUUCCUGAUUGAUUUCCUCGGAAAGAUUGACGGAAUGACUGAGUGGCGGACGGGUGAGUAACGCGUGGGCAACCUGCCUUACACAGGGGGACAACAGUUGGAAACGACUGCUAAUACCGCAUAAGCGCACGGGACCGCAUGGUUCUGUGUGAAAAACUCCGGUGGUGUAAGAUGGGCCCGCGUCUGAUUAGCUAGUUGGUGGGGUAACGGCCUACCAAGGCGACGAUCAGUAGCCGACCUGAGAGGGUGACCGGCCACAUUGGGACUGAGACACGGCCCAAACUCCUACGGGAGGCAGCAGUGGGGAAUAUUGCACAAUGGGCGCAAGCCUGAUGCAGCGACGCCGCGUGAGCGAAGAAGUAUUUCGGUAUGUAAAGCUCUAUCAGCAGGGAAGAAAAUGACGGUACCUGACUAAGAAGCUCCGGCUAAAUACGUGCCAGCAGCCGCGGU